AGUUCCGCCCUCAGGACUGCUCGUUCGGUCCAUAUCAUCACCGGAGAGCCUAUUGAGUGUAUGCGAAUUGAAAUAACUAGGUUAUUUGUGUCGGACAGAGAGAUUCCUCAGCUCUUGAGUGGAUUAUGACGCAUGUCUGAGUGUAAUGUCACCCGCGGCGGGUCUGUGGGGCUGCGUGUACCGGGACAGGUGUGUUACCUGUGGCUGUGAAUGGUGGAAAUGGGCACGGAGCAGCAACAUGCCGAUGAAACGAAUCGCUCUCUUUGAUCGCUGCUGUUGUUUUCCGACCAGAAGCGUGUUUGGAUAGCGGAGCGGUCGGGCUAAGCCGGCGACUUUUGUCUAUUGAUUAAUCGCGAACACUUUGUGACGCCUUUUAAGCGGGUGAAGACACGCAAACCACUCCCUGAGCACUGGACGUAAAGCUCUCUUUUUUGACUGUGUAUCCAGUGCAAACGGGGACUGUGUGGUUCUGACGCAUUACCGAGCCGGGCUGCAGUCUGUGCGAGACGGUGAUGGCCGUGUCUCAGCUGGACAUCGAGCCUCAUCCACCGGAGAACGGCUUCGUCACCCCCGAAACGAAUAAAUCGCCCGAUGUACUCUCGCAGAUCGACGGCCGCGUUUUACCUAGCGUGGGCGGAUUUGGGAGGUUUCAGAAACAGCUGAUCGUUUUAACAUGGAUCCCGGCCAUUUUCAUUGGCUUCAGCCAAUUUUCGGACAGUUUUCUCCUGGCUGAGCCUCAGCAGUGCGCUCAAGUGCAGCCGAACAACAGCCAGCAUUCGCCCAACGCCACGACCCCGGCGUUUAGCGGCGUCAAUAAUGGAAGCAACGCCACUAAUGCGUCAUCACAAUGCAUGUGUAUGCCGUCAGGAUGUGAACUGGAAAUUGGACUAAAGGAAAAUGUUGUCACCAAGUUCAACUUAGUGGGUGACUCCGCCUGGGUAGUUCAUAUUGCCAAAUUCUCCCUGUUGGUGGGCUCCAUCUUCGGAUACUUGGUGUUGGGAUUUCUGGCAGAUUGGUUGGGAAGGCACCCGGUCCUGAUCCUGUCCGUCAUCUUCAUGUUAAUUUUUGGCAUGACAGUGGCCUUCUCCGUCAACGCCCCGAUGUUCAGCACCCUGCGCUUCUUUGAGGGCUUUUGCUUAGCAGGAAUCACGCUCUCGCUUUAUGCACUGAGGAUCGAGCUGUGUUUGCCGGGAUGGCGUUUCUCCAUGACCAUGGUGGCAAACUUCGUGGUGUUGGCGGGGCAGUUGCUCAUGCCGGGACUGGCAGUGCUCUGUCGUGAUUGGCAGAUUCUGCAAGUAGUCGUAAUCUGCCCUCUCGUACUCAUUCUGUCCUAUAUCUGGAUUUUUCCAGAGUCUCUGCGCUGGCUGCUGGCGACGCAGCAGUACAGUCGCUCCAAAUGGAUCAUGGAGCGCGUCGCCAAGAAGAACGACAUCAAUCUAGAGGAGGACGCAGAUAUCAUGACAGAGUUAAACCAAGCACUGCCAAAACAAUCCAAGAAGACAUGCAUUGUGAAGAUGGUUGGCACAAGGAACCUGUGGAAGAAUAUUGUAGUGCUCUGCGUCAACUCACUGACCGGUUACGGCAUACACCACUGCUUUGCACGCAGCCUGUCGGAGGAGACAGCCGAGGACCUGAUAAGGAACCCGGCGAACGCCAUGUUCCCUAAUUUCUAUGCCAAAUACUACACCAUGGGGGGCAUCGCUGUGGUUUCAUGUGUGGCUCUCUGUCCUGCCGUGGGCGUGAUGGGCCGGCGCGGGGGACUCCUCAUGUUUAUGAUCAUCACAGCCCUGGCGUCUCUCCUUCAGCUCGGCCUGCUAAACUUGUUGGGGAAGUACAGUGUUCACCUGAAUAUUGCUGAAGGCUACGGGACGCUGAACACCAACUUUUCAAAGGCUUUCUCCAUCAUUGGCAUGUUCUCCUCCCACGCUGUCAGCAACCUAAGCAUCUUUUUUUGUGCUGAAAUCACCCCUACUGUGAUUAGGGGUGGCGGUCUAGGCCUCGUCCUAGCCAGUGCUGGUUUUGGCAUGCUGACGGCACCCAUCAUGGAGCUGCAUAACCAGAAAGGCUACUUUCUGCAUCACAUCAUUUUCGCCUGCUGCACUCUUAUCUGCAUCAUUUGCAUCUUGCUGCUGCCAGAGACUCGCAAUCGACCGCUACCAGAAACCUUAGCAGACGGCGAAAGCUACACCCGCCAACCGUUACUGCCACCUCGCAAACCGGGGGAGCAACGCUCGCUGCUGACUAAGUCGGAAAGCCGCGAGUACGCCAGAGUAGGCGACACGCCUCUGCACGAAGCAGCUGCCACUGCUGUUUCCACGAUGGACUCCACGGCCUCAUCCGCCAUUGAUCUUCAGAUGCUCAUGGAUGCCCCCGUCCAGCAAGCGACCGGCCAGGUGCAGCAAUUCAGUAUGAAGACACUGACUUCUACCCAAGAGCAAUCCGCGUCCGUGCCGGAAACCUCUGCCUCCUCCGUAGAGGAUCCUCUCCUUGCCUCUAUCCCAAACACUUCUACCCCAAUCGCUGUUAAUUACGUUCAGACACCUAAAACCGAAUCUCCAUCUGUUCUGCCUACUUCACCUUUGAUCGCCGAGUCUCCAACUUCUUCUGAUCUCCACACGUCUUCGCUUUUAGAUAUAGGUACGCCACUUGUUGAAUUUCCCUCACCAGUUGCUAAUGAUAUUAAUAUCCUAACUGAAGUGGGCUCUACAGGUCCUUCCCCAACCUUUCCUCUCUGCACAGCGAACUUGUCCGAUUCAUCCGCUGGACCAUCACCCACUCCGCCUUUGAAUGAAAUUCCUCCCUCAUCCUCAAUAGACUCUCCCGUUCUACCCUCUUCCCCAACAGAACUGUCUUUACCAGUUAAUCAAGUUAAUGCCAUUCCAGCUCAAUCCUUUUCUUCACCCAUAGAUUCCGGCACUCCACUGUUACAUUUAGUCGCCCAACCUGUGAUCAACUCCAUAGAAUCUGGCCCUCCUUCACCAGCCGUAUUGGAGCCAACCUUAAGUAAUGGUACUACUCUUCUUGCCACUGUGGGUUCGACUGCACCUCAUGCCACAACCACUGACUCUGUUACAGCAUCCACCCACCCACUUAUGACAAACUUGACUGUUUCCUCACCUAUUGACUCAGGUACACCUACAGACGUUGACUUGCCCAUCACAGAAGCCAACACUGCCAAUGGGGCGACGUCUUCAUGAUGGACAUAUGUGAUUUGGUGGGCAGCCUUAUUACCAAGAAGCAAUUCUUGUCGUGGGGGCUCAUGCCAGUCAUUGUUAGAAGUAUUUUAAUUUUCCAGCAGCCAUGACCCAAGAAUGGCAAUGCAAGGAGAAGGUAUAAAAGGGUUUGACUGAAAGGGAACAACCAUAAGGGUCAAUGCUCAAAGGGUUUUUACUCUCCGUUGGUUUCAACGAUUUAAACAGCCUUCUUAGGGGCCGUUCACACGAAACGCGUUUUUCCAUUCCAAUGCUAUUUUCCAUUGUUUUUCUGUGUGGAUGUGUAUGACCGUUGCACUUGUGUCUUUUACAGUGUCUCGCACAUGAGCAGAGUGUUUUUUGCUUUUAUUAGGAUAGGAUAGUAUGUGGAAAGGAAGUGGGAGAGAGAGAGGGGGUUGAGAUCAGGAAAGGUCGAGGCUAUUGGUGCCAAUGAGUGCUGUGUGUUAAAAAAAUGUUAAGAAAAUUCAACAUUUUCAAACACACAGUGCCAAUCAUUAACGUCAGUUCCAAAACAGCGGACCAAUCAGAAGACCUUGGAGGCGGGGCAAGCAUUGCAACCUCUUUUUUGGGGGCAUUUUGUCCAUUUUUCUUGAUAGGACAGCGGAGAUAUGAAAGGAUAUGAUUGGGAAAGGUCCACGAGGUUGGAUUUGAACUCGGGACACCCAAAGCGCAACAGCGCUAUAUGUCAGUGCGCUGCCCAUGAGGCUUUUGGCGCCAAAGAGUGCUGGGUUUUUAAAAAAUGUUAAGAAAAUUUUAAUUUUUCAAACAGCGCCAAUCAUUAAUGUCAAUUCCAAAACAGCAGACUAAUCAGAAGGGUUUUUUUUUUUUUUAUAUAUUAUAGGAGAGUGGAGAUAUGACAGGAAGUGAGUGGGAGAGAGAGAGAGGGGGGUGGGAUCGGAAAAGGUCCACGAUGGGGGAUUCGAACUCGGGACAUCCGAAGUGCAACUGCGCCAUAGUUUAAGCGUUGCAACCUUUUGUUGACAGUAUCAAGUUGGCAUGGCAACUGUUUUGUUUGACAGAAACAAUUCGGAGGAGGCAUUUUGCAAUGCGUUUUGUAAAAAAACAUUUCUGAGCACUGCGUCUCACGUUUUUAAGAUGCGUUCUGUGCGAACAGCCCCUUACUAUGGUGCCAGUAACUGCUUUUUGGGCAGCUAGAUCCAAAUUUCUAUGUGUUAUCAUUGAGCUUGUGUUAUUACAAACACUAAGACCAAUAGUGACAAGUUCCCACUUGAGUCACACCGGAAUUUCAUGUAGUCUAGUAAUUAGGCUUACUCGUAUUUGCUUGUUUGAUGGUAAUUAACAACAGGUAGGAUCAAAUGUGAUUAAUUCUGAAUCAGUUGACUGUAAUUACAUCUAUUAAUUUCGCAAUAUUCAGGUGGGAAUAAAGCAUCUGUGAAGUCCAGUAUCAAAGGGAAUUUCUCAAAAACCCAACACUGUAUAUUUAACACUGGGAAUGUUUGCCAAUGUGUCUUGAAGCGGAAGGCAAAUACCUCUAGGAAUUCAGUGUCGAAGACACACCAGUUUCUGUGUUUAAAAGAAUAAGUGAAUAAUAACUGGAUGUAAAAUAGACACAACACAGAGACUGCUCAAAAUGGUAUUCGUGUGGUAUGUUUUAUUAAGCUAAUGUUUUUUAAGCUAAUCACUAGAUACUGGUGGGGGAGAAAUCAUUGUACUUCAUGGCUGUGCGUCUUAAGUGACCACAAUACACUCAAUCAAGUGUAUGCAACAGAUGUAUUGUGAAUGUGAAAACUUUUGUAAUUUAUGCUAUUGUGGUACUGAUGUACAGUGGUACUGACUGCUUAAAAAAAAAAAAAAGAAAAGACAAAAUAUUUUAGGUUACUAUGUCUGUAUCAAUGAGUGUAUGCCCAUUGGUAUUUUGCUACCAUGUCUGUGGCACUUUAUCGUUCACAGUGACAAAAAAGGCAUGUGAACAUGAAAAAAAUGAAACUUUUAAUGAAUGAUGUCGAAGUUAUGAGAACAAAUAACAAUUUGAGGAAUGACUACAGUUGUCAUCUUUUAUUUGUGGUACAUUUAUACCCACAGCAAUAAUAUUAUGUGCUACCCAUGCCAUGAGUUGAAAACAUUUCAGUUUUUUAAAUCAGUAAAGAAUACUAAUAUUUAGUACUGAUUUUUAAUUGCUAAAAAUAUUCUCUAAAAUACUGUAUCAGUUGGGUGUGCUUAUUCAUAAGUUUGGCUAAAACAAUUCAUUGUCGACGUGUACUUGGCACCAAACCUAACAUUACUUUGGAUAAAUUGAAAAGAAUGUUUUUUUUUUUUCAAUGACUGUGGCAUAUUUUAAUAAUUCCAGCUAAUAUUAAGUUUCUUUUUAUCUUCAAUAAAAAGUAUUAUUGCCCUGAAGUAUGUAAAAUUUGUAGAAAGGGUUUUGAUUAUUUGUUAAUUUAAAUUAUGUCUUUUGUAUUUCGAUUAUUCCAAGGAUGGGCAUUUUCUUCUCAAAUAUAUCACGGCCUUACUCUACUGUAUCUGGUGACCUCCUUUAGCUUUUUCUACUGUAGUUUUGUUGUUACAUUUGAUAUAUAAACAUUCAGAGUGAUGAGUCGAUCAUUUUCAAGCAUGUUACUUCAAAAAAACAAUCUCAAAAGAAAAAUCACACUUUUCCAUUUGCAAUUGCAAUGCGACUUGUUGGCAUGAUUUGGCUUUGAGAUCUGUUGAAGAAAUACAAAGACUCACUUUUUAAAGGAUUUUAAAUUCAGCCAUUCAGUAAAAACUGAUUUCCUAACUAAGAAGUUUUGGAGAAAGACAAGGCCAGAAAAAUAUUGUGCAGAUACUGACGUGAAUGUUUGGUCAUUGCAUGCUUAACAUGAGCUCUUCUAGAGUUGCUCUCAAUAAUAUUUAUGUGAGCACUAGUUUUAACUUCAAGGCUUGUGCCAUUGAACCACAUUACCUUCAAACAUAAAAAAAACUUGCCAGCAAGAUUAUUUGCUGUGAGAAUAGUUGAUCUGAAGAAAAAAAAAAAAAAAACUCACCUUAAGACUUUAAUGUCUGCUAUAAUGCUUCUUACAGCAAUGCUGAGAAACAAGCCCAAACUUGCAAUCUGAAAUGUUUCAAGAGUGUAAUUCAAAACGCAAAACAACAACACAUGAAAUUGAGCUGUAUAGCUACAAGUACAAGUUCAUUUACUUGAAGAAGGUAUAUUUGGGGCCAAACUCUCCUAACCAAAUCUCUUCCUCCACCAUAUUGAAUAGCUCACUGUUUGACAAUUUUUGAGGUCAAUUGGAUAACAUAUUAAUUAUUUCUCGCAUUUGACACAGGCUGUAUGCCAUAGUUUAAAGGCUUAACUCAGGGGUGCCCAACCCUGUUCCUGGAGAUCGACCUUCCUGCAGAGUUUAGUUCCAACCCUGAUCAAACACACCUGUCUGUAAUUACCAGAUCCUACUUAGCUGGUUCGGGUGUGUUUGGUCAGGGUUGGAGCUGAACUCUUCAGGAAGGUCGAUCUCUAGGACCAGGGUUGAGCACCCCUGGCUUAACUCUCAAGAAUACACACGAGAAAGCUAAAUCUGUGAUGACUCUUCCAGAGCCAAGACUCAAUAUACCAAACUCAAACACAAAGGUCACCCUAAUGAGAAUAAUAUUCUAUAUUCUGAGGUAGAACCACUUGACAUGCCAGUGUAUAGCAUGCAAAGUUUGACUGUCAAUGGUAGUGAACAGUGCAGUGUUUAACAUUAAAUUACUGAGGUGCACUUCACAUUUUCAGAUCAACCAUUAUAUACAUGAACCGCAUCAAAUUGACCUCUUUUAAAGUUAGUAAACUGACCUGUCUCAUGUGAUCUGAAGUGAUCUAAAAAAAAAUGAAUGUUAGCCAAUGCAAACUCUUCUAAUUCAAUUUUUUGGUAUCUUGAGUAUAUCUCAUAUACUUAAAAAAGGGUAUUUAAUAUAAGUAUUCCCUCAGAAUGUCAGCUCUAAGAGUACUGGCAAAAGGAUGAAUGUCAAAAAAAUUGAUUGUUUUUGGGUUUAAUGUACAUUUUUUAACAUAAAUAAUGCACAUGUAUAUAAAGUCAUAUGUGUCGUAAUAUACGUUAUUGAAUAAAAUAUAUUUAUUGAUA